UACGUAGGGGGCUAGCGUUGUCCGGAUUUAUUGGGCGUAAAGAGCGUGUAGGCGGCCGGGUAAGUCCGGUGUGAAAACUCGAGGCUUAACCUCGAGAUGUCAUCGGAAACUAUUCGGCUAGAGUCCGGAAGAGGAGAGUGGAAUUCCUGGUUUAGCGGUGAAAUGCGCAGAUAUCAGGAAGAACACCUAUGGCGAAAGCAGCUCUCUGGGACGGUACUGACGCUGAGACGCGAAAGCGUGGGGAGCGAACAGG
rnacentral:rRNA from 1 species